rnacentral:lncRNA from 1 species
UUAUGGCUAUUAUAUCUAUUGCUAAUAAUGAUAUAUAUAGAGAAGACAGAGGUUACUACUAGUUCCUUCCUCCACCUCUUCUCCACUUUAGAUUUUGAGAUGGGGAUCUCUCACUAAACCUGGAUCUUGCUUAUUUUGGCUAGACUGACUGGCCAGCCAUCCCUGGUAUUUACCUGUCUCAAACCCCAAUGUUAGGGCUACAGGUGUGUGCCAGCUUUGCCUAGCUUUUCAUGUAGAUGCUGGGGAUCCAAACUCAUGUCCUUGUGAUUAUGUGGAAAGCAUUUUACCCACUGAGUUGACUCCCCAGAUCUUUACUCUUAUAUUCUUGUCUUUCUAGUACCUUAUCAUAUGUGCCUUUCUGUUUAAGCUAAUUAGAGUAGGUUCUGUUGUCUGAAGCCAAGGAUUCUAAAAACCUCCUCUGCAGCUUUCAUGGAAAUAAGGCAAGAAGUCAGCCAUCAGUCUAGUCUCAUUGCAAAGAGGAAGCAUGCUAAUGACUACUGUGUAGACAACCAAGACCACAAUCUCUGGGUAAAUGCAGGCAUAGUAGGAAUGCAAAUAAAUAGGACAGACGAGAGAGACACUUUUUAUUCUUCAUUCAGGACAUUUGCUUCUCCCAGAGAAAGCCCAGAAUACUCAAAUAUAGUCAUUAUUCUGUGAAAGUUGGUCCUGUAAAGAGUAUGAAGCUUAGACUAUCUUAAUCUCUUACUGCUGCAGACUUCACCACAGGCAUGUCCACUGUCCAGAUACCAGCAUAACAGAAUAGUUAGAAUGUGAUGAGGAAAUAAAGAGCAAGCCAUGAUUUAAAAAUGAGUAUUUUUAAUUAUGGUCAUAUACACAAAAAGUAAUAUCAGAAAGAUUUUGAAACUUUAUGUAGAUAUCCAGCAUACACAUGUGCAGUCUAAAUCAUGAAGUGUGAAUAUCAUUACUUGAAAGUUCCUUUUUUUUUUAGGUUUAUAAAUGAAAACACCUUUAUGGCUAAAAUGUUCUUAAAUAU